AAAAAAAAAAAGAAGCCAGCUAUGAUCCAACGAAACUGGAAUUUUCUGCAGAAUUAAACAUGAAAACAAUAAAAUGUUUAAGGAAUAAUUUUCAUGUCUCUCAAUCUUCCCACCCACAUCCGAAUACUCUUGAAUGUAUCAGCAAACCCAGAAAAACCAAAUUCACGACUCUUAUUCAUGCUACAAACAUGUUGAAGCUUCAAAUGCAACACCAUAUUGGUAGCAUCAAAGCAAGUA
rnacentral:misc_RNA from 1 species